UGUGUAUGAGGGUCACAUGCGUGCGAGAGAGUGAAUACUCGCACAUGUGCGCGCACCAUGCGAUUAUUGUGCGGGCAUUUUGUUACCUGGGUAUGUUCUGUGUCUCGAGAAGUGUGGAUACUUGUGAAAAAAAGAAGAAAACAAACAAAGAGAGAAGAGACGAUUGUCAUGCGAAAACGGGGACAACAACGAACGCCGGUCGACCGUGACCGGUUCGGCCGAUCAUUGACGUUGAAAAACUGUGGCGCGAUCUGAUUAGCGUGAACAUCGACCUAACCUAACCUAAUUCACGGAGCGUCAAGGGCGGAAAAAGUUUCUCCAAUCGGCGUGAAAAAUGUGAUUUCUCGCGUCUCGCAACCCGCGGCGAGUCUCGCGUUCACGCGAGGACUGCAGAGGAAGAAAUCGGACGAGAAAUGGAGAACUAUUCCGUACGCAUCAAUCCGCAGGCCGCCCGUGGAGAUGUUGCCGACGAGUCGCCUGCAUUUCACGACGCCCAACCGAAACAGCAUGCGGAUCACGUCAGAAAACGAGAGGACGUGAUCGUUCUAACGAGCGACACGAAGGGCGGUCUGUUCAAUUCCAGAGCUCUCCUCUUUCUCACCCUGUGGUAUGUCUUUAGUGGAUGUACAUUGUUUCUAAACAAAUAUAUACUGUCCUACAUGGAGGGUGAUCCCACGAUAUUGGGUGCUUGUCAAAUGUUGAUGACUGCAAUUUGUGGAUUGAUACAAAUGUACUUUCCCUGUGGUAUGUACAAAGCGAGUCCAAGGUUGAUGAGACCUCCAGGAUUUUACAAGCACAUGACACUCGUAGGCUGCACAAGGUUCGCCACAGUAGUGUUAGGUCUAGUAUCAUUAAAUUAUGUAGCUGUAAGUUUCACAGAAACUAUAAAAAGUAGCGCACCUCUUUUCACCGUCCUCAUCAGCAGGUAUUUAUUAGGGGAACACACAGGAUUAUAUGUAAAUCUAUCUUUAAUACCUGUAAUGGGUGGAUUGGCAUUGUGUUCCAUCAAUGAAAUUAGUUUCGAUCUUAGAGGGUUCAUCGCCGCUAUGGCCACAAAUGUAACAGAAUGUUUGCAAAAUGUUUACUCAAAAAUGUUGAUCAGCGGUGACAAUUUUAAAUAUACGCCAGCGGAAUUACAAUUUUAUACCAGUCUAGCGUCAAUUGUGGUACAAAUACCGGUAUCGAUACUGUUAGUCGAUUUACCUACUCUGGAGCAUUCCUUGAGUUUUAAAUUAUUCGCGGCAUUCCUUCUCAACGGAGUAUUCUUCCAUUUCCAAAGUAUUACCGCUUAUGUACUUAUGGACUAUAUCAGUCCCGUGACACACAGUGUUGCUAAUACUGCAAAGAGAGCUUUCCUAAUAUGGCUCUCCGUUCUAUUAUUUAACAAUCCUGUGACGGGAUUAUCGGCCCUCGGCACUUCCUCAGUUAUAGUAGGAGUAUUGCUGUACAAUCGGGCGCAGGAAUACGACAGGAUGAAUAGAACAAAGAAAAUACGAUACUCGUCGAAGAUCAAUUUGCAAUAGAACAAUUUUCCAGUCUACAAAGAUUUCAUGUGUAUGGGAAGAAAAAUAUGUGUGUCACUGCACCGAAUGUAUUGCAUUGGAGUUGGGAGUACAAACGAUACCCAUUUUCUUAUACAGCAGUAUUCUGUUCAGUGGAAACGCAAAGAUAGUACGUAUUUAUAAGAUUAAGACGAAGGACAAUCAAUAAAAAUUGUUUUUUUUUUUUAAUUUAAUAAUUUCUAGUGAAUUUUUGUGAUAUAUUAAGAACAAUUAGUUUGAUCUCGUUUGCAAUUUGUAAUAUAAAUCAUUAAUAACUAAAUAUCGCUGUGAAAUGUAAUUUAUUUGAUUUGUAAACUUGAAAAUACUUUUAUUUGUACAUUUAGAAAUGUCUGACAGGUAUGGUAAACCAAGAGAAAUCGGGACGAGUGAACUAUAUGUUAAAAAAGUAUCUGAUUACUGUAUUAUACAAGUGUUCCUAAUGUAAAUGUAUAAAAAAAAUCGUAAGAUGUAU